rnacentral:rRNA from 1 species
GCCUACAGCCAGACCGCCCUGAGAGCGCCCGAUCCCGACUGAUCUCGGAAGCUUAAGCAGGGUCGGGCCCGGUCAGUACUUGGAUGGGAGACCGCCGGCGAACACCGGGUGCUGUAGACU